GGAGAGGUAUCGAAGUGGUCAUAACGGGGCUGACUCGAAAUCAGUUUGAGAGCAAUCUCACGAGGGUUCGAAUCCCUCCCUCUCCGCCA
rnacentral:tRNA from 2 species